ACAUUCAAGAUAACAGACACUGAGCAGAUUGUGUGCUAGCACACUGAAAAGCAUCAGGAAGAUGACUUUGGUAGGGAAGCGAAAAUGGAUAGAAGCCAUGAAUCCAUAAUCGUAAAUUUGCAGUCAGAUGGUUUUGCACAUAGAUAGCAGUGACGGUGAUAUUACUACGAUGUGGACUCAGAAACAGAGUGGGGUGGUGCCUUCAAAGAAGAGGUAAUUAUGGUUGAGGAUACAGUUAGUCAUGGUGAUGAGGAAGAAGGAUGUAGGUUUGCAGUCAGUGAGCACUGGGACAACAGCCUACUUUCACUACCAACUUUUCAGCCAGUUUUCAGAGGAAGAGCCAGUUGCUGAGGACACCUGUGCAGAUAAAGUGGGAUCUUCAGCUACUAGUAAGGUGGCUCCAUCAUCUUCUCCUCACACCACACCUUACAUGUCUGGUAAUGGUUCAACUGUGUACCUCUGCCUCUAAAAUACUUUGGCUGGCAAAUGGCCUCCAAUGAGUUGGUAAUCAUUGAGAGUUAUGCUGGGCAGUUGUGCUGACCACUUUGCAGUUCCUGAUUUGGAGUAACUUCUGACUAGUGAUGACCUCUGCUGAUAACAUGAAUUCUCCUGUUGGUGGUUACCAUCUUGCAGACCUAUGCCUUGGACUACACCUCACUGACAGGGCUCCAUCAGGCACCUUCAAUGGAGUUACCAGCCUGGUGCUAUCUCCCUUCAUAAAUCCCCCGAUGAUUAUUUACUAAGUGCUAUGUUUUCCUGUAACCCAGAUAUACUGUACAGUUGCUUGAUAAUGUUUU